AUACUUACCUGGCAGGGGAGAUACCAUGAUCAUGAAGGUGGUUUUCCCAGGGCGAGGCUUAUCCAUUGCACUCCGGAUGUGCUGACCCCUGCGAUUUCCCCAAAUGUGGGAAACUCGACUGCAUAAUUUGUGGUAGUGGGGGACUGUGUUCGCGCUCUCCCCUG
ensembl:snRNA U1 U1 spliceosomal RNA